GGCGGUCUACCCUUCUCGUAACGAGGACAAAUUCCGGUGGCCUUAAACACUUCCGAGGGAGCUGGCUCUGUCCGGACCGUGGUCCGGUUACCUGGCGCCCACCUGUACAUACAGGUUCUCGGGAAUUAGCUGCCUCAACGGUCGCGGUGGUCCCGCC
rnacentral:other from 1 species